UUUCAGUAGUCUUUAAUGGUUGGUUGAAAAAAAAAUUGUAACUCCUUUUAAGCAGAAGCCUUAGCAAGAGCUCCAGCUUCAGUGAGCAGAGGAAUUAGCUUUCCUUCCUUAUGCAUGCCUGUUGUUGUGUCACAGCCACCAAUGUGCUUGCCACUGAUGAAAACAUUCGGCACAGAUCGUUGUCCAGUCCACUCUGCCAAUGCUGAUUGUACCUGACUUCCAUCGCCCUCAGUAUCCAACUCCACGGUCUUAUAAU
rnacentral:misc_RNA from 1 species